UACAGGGGGGGCAAGCGUUGUUCGGAAUUACUGGGCGUAAAGGGCUCGUAGGCGGCCAACUAAGUCGGAUGUGAAAUCCCCAAGCUUAACUUGGGAACUGCAUCCGAUACUGGAUGGCUUGAAUCCGGGAGAGGGUGGCGGAAUUCCCCAAGUAGAGGUGAAAUUCGUAGAUAUGGGGAGGAACACCGGUGGCGAAGGCGGCCACCUGGACGGAUACUGACGCUGAGACGCGAAAGCGUGGGGAGCAAACAGG
rnacentral:rRNA from 1 species